rnacentral:rRNA from 1 species
AACGAACGCUGGCGGCGUGCCUAACACAUGCAAGUCGAACGAGGAAGGGGCUUCGGCUCCGAGUAAAGUGGCGCACGGGUGAGUAACACGUGGGUAACCUGCCUCUAAGAUUGGGAUAACUCGUCGAAAGAUGAGCUAAUACCGAAUAAGACCACAGUUCCCGCGGGAACAGGGGUCAAAGGUAGCCUCUGCUUGCAAGCUAUCACUUAGAGAUGGGCCUGCGCACCAUUAGCUAGUUGGUAGGGUAACGGCCUACCAAGGCAAAGAUGGUUAGCUGGUCUGAGAGGAUGAUCAGCCACACUGGAACUGAGACACGGUCCAGACUCCUACGGGAGGCAGCAGUGGGGAAUAUUGCGCAAUGGGCGAAAGCUUGACGCAGCAACGCCGCGUGAGUGAUGAAGGCCUUCGGGUCGUAAAGCUCUGUCGGGAGGAACGAAUGCUCCUGAGGUUAACAGCCUCGGGAGGUGACGGUACCUUCAAAGGAAGCACCGGCUAACUCUGUG